rnacentral:lncRNA from 1 species
CUAGCUUGAAGAAUUUUUUCUUUCGACUAGGGGUGUUCGUCAGCAAUAAGGCAUUUCCAAUUUUCAUAAAAGGCAUGAAGCUUCUGUAGUCUUUAGAAAUGAGGCUAUGCGAAGGUUUUAGCCAACUUAACAUUAAGAAUAUGAGCUUGAAGACUCUAUUUGUGGAUAAAUGUGAGAGUUUCUAGAAGGUGAUAUCUUCGUGCCAAACUUGGUGUGCU